GACGAACGCUGGCGGCGUGCUUAACACAUGCAAGUCGAGCGGAAAGGCCCUGCUUUUGUGGGGUGCUCGAGUGGCGAACGGGUGAGUAACACGUGAGUAACCUGCCCUUGACUUUGGGAUAACUUCAGGAAACUGGGGCUAAUACCGGAUAGGAGCUCCUGCUGCAUGGUGGGGGUUGGAAAGUUUCGGCGGUUGGGGAUGGACUCGCGGCUUAUCAGCUUGUUGGUGGGGUAGUGGCUUACCAAGGCUUUGACGGGUAGCCGGCCUGAGAGGGUGACCGGCCACAUUGGGACUGAGAUACGGCCCAGACUCCUACGGGAGGCAGCAGUGGGGAAUAUUGCACAAUGGGCGGAAGCCUGAUGUAGCAACGCCGCGUGCGGGAUGACGGCCUUCGGGUUGUAAACCGCUUUCGCCUGUGACGAAGCGUGAGUGACGGUAAUGGGUAAAGAAGCACCGGCUAACUACGUG
rnacentral:rRNA from 1 species